GUCAGGAUGGCCGAGCGGUCCAAGGCGCUGCGUUCAGGUGGCAGUCCGGUCUUCCGGGCGUGGGUUCGAAUCCCACUUCUGACA
rnacentral:tRNA from 1 species